CAGCAGCCGCGGUAAUACGGAGGGGGCUAGCGUUGCUCGGAAUCACUGGGCGUAAAGAGCGCGUAGGCGGUUGGGGAAGUCGGUGUGGAAAUCCCUGGGCUCAACCAAGGAACUGCGCUGAAUACUUCUCGACUCGAGGCCAGGAGAGGGAUGUGGAAUUCCCGGUGUACCGGUGAAAUGCGUAGAUAUCGGGAGGAACACCUGUGGCGAAGGCGGCAUCCUGGACUGGUUCUGACGCUGAGGCGCGAAAGCUAGGGGAGCAAACAGGAUUAGAUACCCUGGUAGUCCUAGCUGUAAACGAUGGGAACUGGGUGUUGCGGGGAUUGACCCCUGCAGUGCCGGAGCUAACGCGUUAAGUGCCCCGCCUGGGGAGUACGGUUGCAAGGCUGAAACUCAAAGGAAUUGACGGGGGCCCGCACAAGCGGUGGAGCAUGUGGUUCAAUUCGACGCAACGCGAAGAACCUUACCUGGGUUUGAACUGCAGGUGACAGCUCUGGAAACAGAGUCUUCCUUCGGGACACCUGUAGAGGUGCUGCAUGGCUGUCGUCAGCUUGUGUCGUGAGAUGUUGGGUUAAGUCCCGCAACGAGCGCAACCCUYGCCCUCUGUUGCCAUCGGGUCAUGCCGGGCACUCUGAGGGGACUGCCCCGGAAAACGGGGAGGAAGGCGGGGAUGACGUCAAGUCAUCAUGGCUUUAUGCCCAGGGCUACACACGUGCUACAAUGGACGGUACAACGGGUUGCGAACCCGCGAGGGGGAGCUAAUCCCAAAAAACCGUUCUCAGUUCGGAUUGCAGUCUGCAACUCGACUGCAUGAAGGUGGAAUCGCUAGUAAUCGCGGAUCAGCACGCCGCGGUGAAUACGUUCCCGGGCCUUGUACACACCGCCCGUCACAUCACGAAAGUUGGCGGCACCUGAAAUUGCUGUGCUGACCCGCAAGGGAGGCAGGCACUUACGGUGUGGUUGAUGAUUGGGGUGAAGUCGUAACAAGGUAGCCGUA
rnacentral:rRNA from 1 species